AAAAGUCUGACUAGUGCAAUUCUUCCUGAGCCAUUGCAUGAGCUUCCGCUGGGCGGGAAAUCCCAUGUUGUGAGUGGGGGAUUCACCCUUGUUGAGUGAACAGAGUGCUGACUCACUGAGAACCCGGGCCAGAGACCUGCAAACAAUGCUCAAUUAAUAUUUGCCCUGGCCGGUGAACCCAGCAGAGGCUGUGCACGGAAGCCCAGAGCACGGUGUCUUGUUAGAAUGCUACCUCCUGGACCCAGCUGCCAGGCUCUGAGAAGCUCAAGUCACAUGGGGAGGCCACGUGUAGGUGACCUGGUCAACAGUCUCAGCCAAAGCCAACUCUCAAGUAGUCCCCUGUGGGUGCCAGACAUGUAGAUCAAGAAGCUUCUGGUUGAUUUCAACUGCCAGCUGCUUGCAUCACCCCCAGCUGAGGUCCCAGAUGUGGUGAAAAAGCAGCCACCCUCCCUGUGCUGGUUGGAAUUCCCUACUCAGAGAAUUCAUGUGCCUAAUAAAAUGGUUUUUGUUUAAGGCCACC
rnacentral:lncRNA from 10 species